rnacentral:rRNA from 1 species
UACGUAGGGGGCUAGCGUUGUCCGGAAUCAUUGGGCGUAAAGAGCGUGUAGGCGGCCCGGUAAGUCCGCUGUGAAAGUCGGGGGCUCAACCCUCGAAUGCCGGUGGAUACUGCCGGGCUAGAGUCCGGAAGAGGCGAGUGGAACUCCUGGUGUAGCGGUGGAAUGCGCAGAUAUCAGGAAGAACACCGACGGCGAAGGCAGCUCGCUGGGACGGUACUGACGCUGAGGCGCGAAAGCGUGGGGAGCGAACAGG